UCAGACUAUGAUAGCUGUGACCUUCAAGAA
rnacentral:piRNA from 2 species